UGCAGUCGUACGGUGUACCCUGUUAAGGGGGGGAUCAGUGGCGAACGGGUGAGUAACACGUGAGCAACCUGCCCUCAGCUCUGGGACAACCACUGGAAACGGUGGCUAAUACCGGAUACGACUCAUCCCGGCAUCGGGUGUGGGUGGAAAGUUUUUCGGCUGGGGAUGGGCUCGCGGCCUAUCAGCUUGUUGGUGGGGUAAUGGCCUACCAAGGCGACGACGGGUAGCCGGCCUGAGAGGGCGACCGGCCACACUGGGACUGAGACACGGCCCAGACUCCUACGGGAGGCAGCAGUGGGGAAUAUUGCACAAUGGGCGCAAGCCUGAUGCAGCGACGCCGCGUGAGGGAUGACGGCCUUCGGGUUGUAAACCUCUUUCAGCAGGGAAGAAGCCACAUCUUGGUGUGGUGACGGUACUUGCAGAAGAAGCACCGGCUAACUACGUGCCAGCAGCCGCGGUAAUACGUAGGGUGCAAGCGUUGUCCGGAAUUAUUGGGCGUAAAGAGCUCGUAGGCGGUGUGUCGCGUCUGCUGUGAAAACUCAGGGCUCAACUCUGAGCUUGCAGUGGGUACGGGCACACUUGAGUGCGGUAGGGGAGACUGGAAUUCCUGGUGUAGCGGUGAAAUGCGCAGAUAUCAGGAGGAACACCGGUGGCGAAGGCGGGUCUCUGGGCCGUAACUGACGCUGAGGAGCGAAAGCAUGGGGAGCGAACAGGAUUAGAUACCCUGGUAGUCCAUGCCGUAAACGUUGGGCGCUAGGUGUG
rnacentral:rRNA from 2 species